rnacentral:lncRNA from 1 species
AGUUGUAGGUGGACACAAUACCUUUAUUCAUUAUUUUUAUGUGGUGCUGAGGAUCAAACCCAGGGCCUCACACGUUCGAGGCGAACGCUCUACCGCUGAGCCACAAUCCCAGCCCCUAUGGUGCUUUCUUCUGGAGCUUAAAGAUGUCGACAUAUCAGAUUCUUUUAUUUAGGUUUUAGAUAUUUUGUUUAGAUUAAAAAUUGAUAUUUCACUAACUUUUGAUGGGAGAUUAUUAAAAGCAACAUUCAGAUCCUAGUUUCCUGUCUUCAGACAAAGUUAAUGAAAAAGUUGCUCCAAGAAGAAAGGUCACUCUGACCUGGAGUGCUUGGAGGUGGCAGGGAAACAACUCCUACAGAGAGAAGAGCUGACACCAGUGCCAAAUGAAAACGAAUAAACCUAGAAAAACCUCUUCAGCAGAGCAGAAGCUAUCUCCUCACUUCUUUGUACAAACAAGAAAGUUUUCCUUUGUAUCAUUUCCCACACAAUCCCCACCUCACCCAUUUGCUCCACCUGCGAAUAAGAACCAAAAAGCCCCGUAACUCCAAAACACAAUUUGCAGCAAAAGAAACAUGUGCUGCUGCUGGGUGGCCAUGACACCUGUGGGCCUGGAUGCCACACACCUCAGCAGAUGAGUGUACCACUGCACCCAUUUGGAGGUACUUUCCUGGUCUUCCCUGCAGUAAGAGGGUAGAUGCAACCGUGCCAACAGCUGUGUGAUGGUCAGAAAAGCAGUGACCAGAAUCCUAUCCACCCCUUCUCCCCAGGGCUGAGAACUGCAGGACUCCAUGGCAGGUCCAACAGCUUCCAGUGGGCCUGAGCCCCAAGAGCAGACACCACCCCAAGGCUGUCUCCCUAUGAGUGCACACUGCUGGCAUCACGCCUGCCCUGGCAACAAUGCUACCUGAGCAGCAGACACGGUUAAACAAAAAGACCAAGCCUCGAGUCAGGUGACCUGAACUCAGAUUCUGUCUGUCCAAGUGUCUCCAAGGACCUCUCCCCUGCCCGGGGCUUCGAGAAGAGGACCACCACCAGCCCUCAGUGCUGAGGUACUGCUGCACUCACUUCCACUCAGUGCCACCUCCCCUCCCCAGGAGCCACACCAGGGAACUCAUGGGGAACAGGGUGCUCAGGGGCUUGGGAAGGAUCAGAAGCCCAUGCUUGCUGCGGUCUGCACUUUCAACAGGACGAGACCUCCAGCCAGAUUCAACACUCAUGUGAGAUAGUCUGGGGAGAUGCGCCUGUGCCAGAGACCCCGGGAGCAUCAGCGAGAAGCACAAGGUGGACAGAAAAGGAAGACACUUUUUCAUGUAUUUUUCCUAAUGAUCUAAGAUCAAAGGAUCUCAACUUUAUUAGUGAUUCCCCUCCACACUCUUUAAAAACCUUAUGCAUAUAAACUAGUUCUUUAAAGACUGAGAUCAAGAAAUUAUUGAUAAAACAAAAUAUAGAUAAGAAAUAAUGACUUGAACAAACAAGGCAUAUUUCUGAUUUGGAAACAUAAAUACUAUAAAUAUGCUAAUGUCAAUUUUUUCCUAAAAUGGCAGAUUAAUGGCAUUUAAUGGUAGUUUAUCCUGAGUUGCUGGGAUUACGGGUAUACAACAUUUGUACCUGACUGCAACUUCAGAUAAUGAUUUCAGAAAAUAUUUGGAAAUAUGUUUCAAGAUUUUUUUUGUUUAAGUAGUAAACUUUUGUUUUACUUCUUGGAAUUCAUUCUAGAAAUGUAAUAACCAUGAAUGAG